UACGGAGGGGACUAGCGUUGUUCGGAAUUACUGGGCGUAAAGCGCACGUAGGCGGAUUUGUAAGUCAGGGGUGAAAUCCCGGGGCUCAACCUCGGAACUGCCUUUGAUACUGCAAAUCUCGAGUCCGGAAGAGGUGAGUGGAAUUCCUAGUGUAGAGGUGAAAUUCGUAGAUAUUCGCAGGAACACCAGUGGCGAAGGCGGCUUACUGGUCCAUUACUGACGCUGAGGUGCGAAAGCGUGGGGAGCAAACAGG
rnacentral:rRNA from 1 species